CCUGGCGGCUGUAGCGCGGUGGUCCCACCUGACCCCAUGCCGAACUCAGAAGUGAAACGCCGUAGCGCCGAUGGUAGUGUGGGGCCUCCCCAUGCGAGAGUAGGGACGGUCACUU
rnacentral:rRNA from 1 species